GCGGCGGACGGGUGAGUAACACGUGGGCAACCUGCCUGUAAGACUGGGAUAACUUCGGGAAACCGAAGCUAAUACCGGAUAGGAUCUUCUCCUUCAUGGGAGAUGAUUGAAAGAUGGUUUCGGCUAUCACUUACAGAUGGGCCCGCGGUGCAUUAGCUAGUUGGUGAGGUAACGGCUCACCAAGGCAACGAUGCAUAGCCGACCUGAGAGGGUGAUCGGCCACACUGGGACUGAGACACGGCCCAGACUCCUACGGGAGGCAGCAGUAGGGAAUCUUCCGCAAUGGACGAAAGUCUGACGGAGCAACGCCGCGUGAGUGAUGAAGGCUUUCGGGUCGUAAAACUCUGUUGUUAGGGAAGAACAAGUACGAGAGUAACUGCUCGUACCUUGACGGUACCUAACCAGAAAGCCACGGCUAACUACGUGCCAGCAGCCGCGGUAAUACGUAGGUGGCAAGCGUUAUCCGGAAUUAUUGGGCGUAAAGCGCGCGCAGGCGGUUUCUUAAGUCUGAUGUGAAAGCCCACGGCUCACCCGUGGAGGGUCAUUGGAAACUGGGGAACUUGAGUGCAGAAGAGAAAAGCGG
rnacentral:rRNA from 2 species